UGGGGAAUAUUGGACAAUGGGCGAAAGCCUGAUCCAGCCAUGCCGCGUGUGUGAAGAAGGCCUUUUGGUUGUAAAGCACUUUAAGCGAGGAGGAGGCUACUUAGAUUAAUACUCUAGGAUAGUGGACGUUACUCGCAGAAUAAGCACCGGCUAACUCUGUGCCAGCAGCCGCGGUAAUACAGAGGGUGCGAGCGUUAAUCGGAAUUACUGGGCGUCAAGCGUGCGUAGGCGGCUUUUUAAGUUGGAUGUGAAAUCCCUGAGCGUAACUUAGGAAUUGCAGUAGAUACUGGGAAGCUAGAGUAUGGGGGAGGAUGGUAGAAUUCCAGGUGUAGCAGUGAAAUGCGUAGAGAUCAUGAGGAAUACCGAUGGCGAAGGCAGCCAUCUGGCCUAAUACUGACGCUGAGGUACGAAAGCAUGGGGAGCAAACAGG
rnacentral:rRNA from 1 species